UCGAUUAGUUUGAUCCUGGCUCAGGAUGAACGCUAGCGGCGCGCUUAAUGCAUGCAAGUCGAGCGAUGAGUUCCUACGGGGACAUCAGCGGCUUACGGGUGAGUAACACAUGGGUAACCUACCCCCAAGCCGGGGAUAACGCCUGGAAACAGGGGCUAAUACCCGAUGAACACGCGGGAGGGGACUUUGCGCGUGUAAAGUUACGGCGCUUGGGGAGGGGCCUGUGGCCCAUCAGCUAGUUGGUAGGGUAAUGGCCUACCAAGGCGAGGACGGGUAGGGGGUGUGAGAGCACGGCCCUCCACAAUGGGACUGAGAGACGGCCCAUACUCCUACGGGAGGCAGCAGCAGGGAAUAUUGCGCAAUGGACGGAAGUCUGACUCUUCGACGCCGCGUGGGCGAGGAAGGCCUUCGGGUUGUAAAGCCCUUUUCUGGGGGAAGAGGUAGGACGGUACCCCAGGAAUAAGUGUCGGCUAACUACGUGCCAGCAGCCGCGGUAAUACGUAGGACACGAGCGUUAUCCGGAUUUACUGGGCGUAAAGCGCCUGUAGGCGGUUGGAUAAGUCGGCUGUGAAAGCCCUGGGCUUAACCCGGGGAGGCCAGGCGAUACUGUCUGACUUGAGGGUGACAGAGGGGAGUGGAAUUCCCGGUGUAGCGGUGGAAUGCGUCAAUAUCAGGAAGAACACCGGUGGCGAAGGCUGCUGCCUGGAACGUUGCUGACGC
rnacentral:rRNA from 1 species